rnacentral:lncRNA from 1 species
CCUGCCCCCAACUUCUGGCUAAGCUGCUCGGAGGGAAAACAAGGAAUGAGAAGGAGGGGGAGUGUUUUUGAAUGUUCCAAAAGUCAGAGGUAAAAAAGCCCCCUCUGUAAGACCCAGAGAGGUUCCUGGAGCUGAGCAAACAAAGCUGGAAGUGACUCGGGUGCCACAACGUAACGUGAUUUCAUCCUGUCCCAAAGCAAUGCGAAAACUCAGCUCCUAAAUCUGCAUUUCAUUUGCAUCUGGUGUGGGUGCACCCACAGGCAGAAGGUGUGGGAUAAACCCAGGGAAGCUUUAAAGAAGCUGUAAAGAGCUGCCUGCUCUGUCAGCCCCCACGCCCAGGAGCUCCCUCUCUCACUGCCUUCAAGAA